AUAUCGGCUGUCUUAUUUUACAUUUUAAUUUGAAAUCUCCUUCCGAAUUUUACCGUUGAAGUGCCUCCUUCAUAGCAACUGUGCUUUCCAAAAAAUUGAAGUGCCUCGUUUCUAGCUACAGUGCUUUCCAAAAACAUAAUUCAAAUUCUCCUUUCAGAUUUUACUGUUGAAGUGCCUCGUUUCUAUCUACCGUGCUUUCCAAAUAAUUGAAGGAGGAAUUAAAGGGCUGCCAAGGUCUCAGAACAACCAUUGUGUACUUAGGUGAUGCUGAAGGGGCAGGGGAAUGGGGAGAAGGUGAUGUAGCUGAAAACUUGAAAGUACAGUCGGAACAUUCAAUGGGAAAUUUGAAGGGUUGCAAAGGUCUCAGAACUACCAUUGUGUACUUAGUUGAUGCUGCACAUAUCUAAAGAUGGCUAAGCGGAAGACAACAGUCCCAAGGAAGAAAAUUGGAUGGCCAGUUGUUUAUAAUUUAUAA